GAGUUUGAUCCUGGCUCAGAGCGAACGCUGGCGGCAGGCUUAACACAUGCAAGUCGAGCGGGCGUAGCAAUACGUCAGCGGCAGACGGGUGAGUAACACGUGGGAACGUACCUUUUGGUUCGGAACAACUGAGGGAAACUUCAGCUAAUACCGGAUAAGCCCUAACGGGAAAGAUUUAUCGCCGAAAGAUCGGCCCGCGUCUGAUUAGCUAGUUGGUGAGGUAAUGGCUCACCAAGGCGACGAUCAGUAGCUGGUCUGAGAGGAUGAUCAGCCACACUGGGACUGAGACACGGCCCAGACUCCUACGGGAGGCAGCAGUGGGGAAUAUUGGACAAUGGGGGCAACCCUGAUCCAGCCAUGCCGCGUGAGUGAUGAAGGCCCUAGGGUUGUAAAGCUCUUUGUGCGGGAAGAUAAUGACGGUACCGCAAGAAUAAGCCCCGACUAACUUCGUGCCAGCAGCCGCCGCCGUAAC
rnacentral:rRNA from 1 species